CAGUCGAGCGAAUGGAUUAAGAGCUUGCUCUUAUGAAGUUAGCGGCGGACGGGUGAGUAACACGUGGGUAACCUGCCCAUAAGACUGGGAUAACUCCGGGAAACCGGGGCUAAUACCGGAUAACAUUUUGCGCUGCAUGGCGCGAAAUUGAAAGGCGGCUUCGGCUGUCACUUAUGGAUGGACCCGCGUCGCAUUAGCUAGUUGGUGAGGUAACGGCUCACCAAGGCAACGAUGCGUAGCCGACCUGAGAGGGUGAUCGGCCACACUGGGACUGAGACACGGCCCAGACUCCUACGGGAGGCAGCAGUAGGGAAUCUUCCGCAAUGGACGAAAGUCUGACGGAGCAACGCCGCGUGAGUGAUGAAGGCUUUCGGGUCGUAAAACUCUGUUGUUAGGGAAGAACAAGUGCUAGUUGAAUAAGCUGGCACCUUGACGGUACCUAACCAGAAAGCCACGGCUAACUACGUGCCAGCAGCCGCGGUAAUACGUAGGUGGCAAGCGUUAUCCGGAAUUAUUGGGCGUAAAGCGCGCGCAGGUGGUUUCUUAAGUCUGAUGUGAAAGCCCACGGCUCAACCGUGGAGGGUCAUUGGAAACUGGGAGACUUGAGUGCAGAAGAGGAAAGUGGAAUUCCAUGUGUAGCGGUGAAAUGCGUAGAGAUAUGGAGGAACACCAGUGGCGAAGGCGACUUUCUGGUCUGUAACUGACACUGAGG
rnacentral:rRNA from 1 species